CAUGGCAACAGUGGCAGCAAGUCAACAACAAUCCCAAAUAGCAAAAAUUUAAGUAUUACUUGAAUGAAUUUCUGGAUCCCCACUCUAAACCCAAUCCUGAAGAUGCCGCAGAAGGAAGAAAGAAAAUAGAUGGAUCUAAGAAAAUAUUGGAAAAACUGAAAAGUCCCUGGAGUGAGUUCCAGAUGAAGUAAGAGCCUAGGAAGGGAGGACAUUGAAGUGAUGUGAAUUCUCUGACCCUCAUUCCACUAUAUGAAGAGGAGACAAACACCAAAGUCCAGAAGGGCACGCUUUCGCUUGCCUACAUAUUGUACCUUGUGCUUGGAGCAAUGAUAUUUCAAGACUUCGAGAAAGACUUUGAGGUACAGUGGUGCCAGUUGGCAGUUAAUACAGAAAUUGCUUUUCUGAAAAAUUGUUCUAAUCUGACUCAAGAAGAUGUGGAACUCUGUGCAGAUAAGAGAUGAAGAUAUGGUUAUUUUCAGAUGCAGA